rnacentral:rRNA from 1 species
GACGUAGGGGGCCAGCGUUGCUCGGAAUCACUGGGCGUAAAGCGCACGUAGGCGGAUUGCUAAGUCAGGGGUGAAAUCCUGGAGCUCAACUCCAGAACUGCCUUUGAUACUGGCGACCUUGAGUCCGGGAGAGGUGAGUGGAACUGCGAGUGUAGAGGUGAAAUUCGUAGAUAUUCGCAAGAACACCAGUGGCGAAGGCGGCUCACUGGCCCGAUACUGACGCUGAGGUGCGAAAGCGUGGGGAGCAAACAGG